AGAAUGGAAAAUUCUCUGGGCUGGGCAUCUGGGCUGCUCUUUGACUAGAUUCCCUAGAAGGGGAGAACACUGCAGAGACUUUAUAGAGGAGGUGGCUGGUGUCUCUGCAAGUUAAAGGCUGUCUUCUCUGAAUUCUUGCCUGGAAGGGAUUUGAUGAAUGGAUGUGAAAAUAUGUCAUGAAGCUGAAAUUUACAGAAAAGGAGAAGCUACUGUGGGGAAGGGAACAAGGCAUCAAAGUGACACACAAGCACCAUCCCCGCCUGUCCCGAAGAUGAGAGAGAGGGCAGCGCGAUGGUCUGAAGUAGAACCCGAGGAUGGGCUAGGCCAUUUGAAGCCUUGUCCCCAGAAGACCUUUCCUGCAUCUGGAAAUCUGAGCUGACCAGCUCAAAGUCCCAGGUGCAAGUGCUACGUGGUCUUCGACAUGCAGCCCAGAUUCAGCAUCUCCACGCACACCCUCGGCGGCAUGGAUUUCUCAGAGCCCCGGACUCGCUCACCUUGGACUCGCACUGCACCGGCUGGCGGCUCUUCUCCCUCCCCCCCCCAAGAAUGGGAGGAGCUCCGAGGCAGGAGAGGACCCAGCCCGCCCACCUGGCUCUUAUCUCCAGUAUCCACUCCGAUUGUGGAUCUUUGACCUUCACCCUGGAUGUGUUUGUCUCUGGCUCCCUGGGACCUCUAGUCACGGUGCCUCCUCUUCUCUGAGCACAAUUCUUCUGGGACCUUCUUCUCCUCUUCUGUAGGCUCAGGGGUGAGUCUGGAAGAGAAGCUGGUAUACCCCGUUCCUGUCCUACAUACUCCUGUCUAUCUCAGGACAGCACCCCUGCUCCUCCAAGGAGUUUCUCCUUCCUUGCUGGUCAUGGAACCUCUCAGAAGCAAGGCAAGAGCAGCUGAUGAAGGGGUCACAGCCACCGAGAGGAGGCCAGUGGGUGGAAUUCGCAGCAACCGCAGCUCUGAGGUUUGGAAGACAAACAACUUCUGUUUCAGACAAAUGGGAGUGUCAGGUUCUUCCAGCCUGAUGAGAUUACAGCUCAGAGGAUCACGAGGAAUCGAUUCCUCCAGAAGAGGAAAAACACAGCUGGCACAGGAGCUCUGCAGAGCCUUCUGCUAAAGGUAACGCGGGGUCACAGGUUGCGAGGUUCCAGGUGAGGAAGAGAUUAGGGCACGUGCAUCAAGCCCCAAAUAUGGGAAGUGGUGGAUCCAGGGUACGUCGUGAACAUUUGGUGAUGGAAGCAUGACUGGCGUUUCAGAGGCACCAGCUUCUGGGUCCCUUCUGUCUGUCCAGACAAGGCAGAGGAGACAGGAGGAGUUCAGACUGUCAAGGGGAAGUGGUAGAAGGAGGUGCCGGGGGAGGCAGGAGAGGAGAUGGAGGCACUGUCCUUGGUCCCAAAGUUUCCCCAGGGGGCAGCCCCAAAUCUCCGAAAUCCAGGAGAACGGUAUUUCAAGGCAGUAUUUACAAAAACCAAGAUUAAUGCCAGAAUUAUCUGUGAUGAACAAAAUACCAUCAUUUUAGAGGAAGACUAGACAGCAGCGGUUCUGUAUGAAGCAUACUGGACCCCGAGGCAAAGGGAAAAACCAAUCAUUUUGAUCUUGUUGUCUUUAUUUUAAAAUGUGGCAUUUUGUUCGCCAUGAAUGUUUUGCAUUUCUUCCAUUUUUUUAAAUUGUGGUGAAGUAUGAACAAUACAAAAUGUAUCAUUUUAACCGUUUUCAAGUGCAAACUGCCGUGGCAUUGACUAUUUGCACAGUGUUAUGCAAACCCCAUGACCACCGUCCAGAGCUCUUUCCCUCUUCCCAAGGGGAAAUUCUGUCCCAUUAAAUACUGACUCCCUAUGGUCCUUUCCCCUGGUCACCACUAUUCUGCUUUGUCCUCUGUGAAUUUUACUCCUCAGUGCCUCCUGUAAGUGGAACUAUACAGUAUUUGUCUUUCUGGACUGGCUUAUUUCACUUAGCGUAAUGUCCUCAAGGUUCACCUGUGUGGGAGCAGGUGUCAGACUUUCCCUGUUUUUCAGUCUCCCAAUGCACUCAAAAGCAAAAAUAGACAAAUGGGACCUAAUCAAACUUAGAAGCUUUUGCACAGAGAAGGAUGCCAUAAACAAAAUGAAGAGACAAGCUGAAGCAUGGGAGAAAAUACAUGCAAAAAUGCAACCAACAAGGGCUUCUUAAUUUCUGAAAUAUACAAACAGCUCAUACAGCUCAAUCACCACCACCACAACAAAGAACCCAAUCAAAAAAAUGGGCGGAAGACCUAUGUGGACAUUUCUCCAAAGAAGACAUCCAGCUGGCCAAUAGGCACAUGAGAAGAUACUCCACUAUGUAUUAGAGAAAAUGUAAACUAUACCUCAUGCCAGUCAGAAUGGCUGUCAUUAGUGAGUCUACAAAUAACAAAUGCUGGAGAGGGUGUGGAGAAAGGGGGACCCUCCUACACUGUUGAUAGGAAUGUAAAUGAGUGAAGCCACUAUGGAGAAGAGUAUGGAGAUUCCUCAAAAUCUAAAAAGUAGAGUUGCCAAUCCCACCCCUGAGCAUAUACCCAGACAAAACAAUAGUUUAAAAAGAUACACACACCCAGGUGUUCAUAGCAGCACUGUUUACAAUACCCAAGACGUGGAAGCAACCUAACUGUCUACUGAUAGAGGAAUAAAUAAAGAUGUGGUAUAUAUUUGUCUUUAUUUAUUUUUACGGCCAAGUAAUAUUCCAUUGUAUGUAUUCCAUGUAUACAAUGGAAUAUUACCUGGCCGUAAAAAAGAAUGAAGUAAUAUCAUUUGCAGCUACUUGGAUGGACCUAGAGAUUAUCAUACUAAGUGUAGUAAGUCAGAAAGAAAAAUGCCAUAUGAUAUCAUUUAUAUGUAGAAUUUAAAAUACAACACACAUCAACAUAUCUAUGAAACAAAAACAGGCUCGCAGAUAGAACAAGCUUGUGGUUGCCAAGGGGGAGGGGGAGAAGAGGGGAGGGAAAGAUUGGGAGUUCAGGACUAGCAGAUGAAAACUUUAAUGCAUAGGAUGGACAAAAAACAGGGUCCUACUGUAUAGCACUAGGAACUAUUGUCAGUAUCCUGGGGUAAACCAUAAUGAAAAGAAUAUGAAGAAGAAUAUAUGUAUGUGAAAUUGAGUCAUCUUGCUGUAUGGCAGAAAUUAAGAUGUUUAUUGUUUUUUAAAAAACAAUGAACAAGAUUUAUUUUUAGAAAUGUAAGUCAACCUGUAUGGCUAGGAAAAAUAACAAAAAGGAACAUGACCAACGUGAAAGAGCAAACAAAAGGAAUUAUUAUCUUCCUAUUGGUUGGCAAAGAAUAAAAGGAUUAGUCAAUGUGGGUAAACAUAGCAGUGGAGCAGCACCCUCAAACCUUUAGGUUUUUUUAUUUGUUAAAUUGUUUAAAAUUUUUAUUUAAUUAAAAAAAUUUUUUUAUUACUCAUGAAUUUUAUUACAUUUAUAGAAGACAACAUUUUUAAAUAAACUCUAUUUCGAUAAUUUUUUUAAAUGGCAAAAAAAGAAUUUCCUUCCUUUUUAAAAGCUGAGUAAUAUUCCAUUUUUUGUAUUCACAUGUUUUGUUGGUGCCUCACCCAUCGGUGGACAUGUGGUUGUUUCUUCCUUGGCUGUUGUAAGCAAUGCUGUGAUGAAUAUGGCUUACAAAUAACCGUUGGGUUUCUUUUGAAUGUAUACCCAGAAGUAGAAUUGCUGGAUCAUCUGCUAAUUCUUUGUUUAAGAAGAACCAUCAGUUUUCUACAGUGGCUUUUGCAUUCAUUUUGAUGUUUAGAAAUAUUGCAUUGGAGGGAGUUCCCUAGUGGUUUAAUAGUUAAGCCUCAGUGCUUUUACUGCUGUGGCCUGGGUUUGAUCCCUAGCCUGGAAACUCAGAUCCCAUAGCAAGCUGUUGUGUGCUGUGGCAAAAAUAAAAUAAUAAUAAAAAAUAGCAUUAGAAUAUUAUUUGUCUUAAGUACUGAAGUUUUUAGGAUUUACUUCAGCCUGUCCUGGCCCUGGAAAUACAGCCCAGUGGUUCAUCCAUGGCAUUGAAUGGAGCCUCAAAACUCUUCCAGAACCAUGGAAGGACCCCUUGGCCACCCUUUGGUUUAGUGUUUUGUCCUUCUUUGGGAAGAUGAUGCUUUGGAUUGUUUUCUAGUUGUGAGACCAGGUAACACUGACCCACCUGCUACCUGUGACUCUGGUACCGAUCUGUGAAGGAGUUGCCAGCAUUGGGGGACAGUCUGUGACAAAGAGAUGCCAUUCUGAUGGAUGGGAUGCUGAUUGUGCUAAUUAUUCGGAGCAGGAAUUGUACCUUCAGGCACCCUUGAACCUGCAUUUCAUUUGCAGCACUUAAUUCUCCAUGGUCCCCUCAGUGGUUUUAACCUUCGAGUGAGUUUCUCUUCCAUGAAAGGAACCAAUGACAUUGUGAUCUCUUUCUCCAGUCUUUAGUUUUUGUUUUGUUUUUUUUUUUUUAUUGGUAAAAAGAAGAGCAGCAUCACCCCUGGAAUAAAGCAGGACCCCUGUUCUGACCCAUCACCCUUGCACAGUCUGAGCUCAUUCUGGAAUCACAGAAACAACAGUUCAUCUGAGAAACACAAUGGCCCUUUUCUGUCUGUCGUUCCCAAGAGGACAGCCGAAGUGAGCGCCGAUACCCGUGGUGGUCCCCGAGUUCCCAGGAGCAGACAGUGCCUGGCAGGCUGAUGCAUUUGGGUGGCCCCAGGCAGGUGCUCACCAUUUGCUUCUGGGGAAUUCUUCCCGACAGGGAUAGCUCGCUCCUUGGCUUUUUAAGGUUAAAUGUGGGGUUUCCAGGCAGUCAUUUCCAUCCCAUUUUAGAAGGUCCCUUAUCCUCUCGAUGAGGCUCUGUGGUCCUUGUAGGGGGAUGAACGGCUUCGUCCUUAUGCUCAUCCUGGGUCAUGUUUGCUUCUGAUCUCACACCCAGGGACUUGCUCAUCUUUUCUGGCUUGGUUGGAAACGGGAUAAGGAAGGGUCGUGGGGGCAAAGGCUGACGUUUUACCAUUGACUGGAGGGUGAGUGACUCUGAGCCACGUCAUAGCUUUGCUCCUCAGUUUCUCCAGGGGCUCAGCAUUUACAUCUGACCUCCCACCACCCUUUGUCUCUGUUGGGAAGAGUAACUUUGCUAUGAGAAGAGGCGAUGGUGACUAAAUACAAGGGCAUAAGGCUGGCUGGCAGCAUGUAUGUAUUCUACGCGUAAUUAUGAGAGUCCUGCUGUGUACCUGGCAGCCUCCUGGGCGCAAAAGGUGGAGGGUUCCUUAAACGUGGUUAGGGUAUAGUUGGAUGGAGAGAAGUGAAAGAAUUUGAUGAGAGUCUGUGCUUAGAACAGCACCUAGGACAGCUCAGCAAACCAUAGUCCUAUUUCUCUACUGGCCCCCACCGCCAUCCCGUCAUCCCCAUGCCCUGUGCUAGGCCUUGGUGAUGCAAAGAUAAAGAAACUCUCAUUCCCUCCCUUACCUUGCUAAUGAUCCAGAGGGCAAGCUCGACGUGUGAGCCACAUUUUACGUGGGUACGAGAUGAAAGCUCUUCUACCCUCUGCCUCCUCAGUCACUGUUCACAGGAACCCUUUCACAGACUGGGAAACAGAAGUACAUCCCAAGAGUUCAUGUCCUGGCUCAGUGGAAACGAAUCUGACUAGCAUCCGUGAGGACACAGGUUCAAUCCCUGGCCUCACUCAGUGGGUGAAGGACGCGGCACUGCCCUGAGCUGUGGUGUAGGUUGCAGAUGCGGCUUGGAUCUGGCGUGGCUGUGGCUGUGGCGUAGGGCAGCAGGUAUAGCGCCGAUUCACCCGCUAGCCUGGGAACCUCUAUAUGCCACGGGUGUGGCCCUAAAAAGACAAAAAAAAAAAAAAAAAAAAAAAAAA
rnacentral:lncRNA from 1 species